rnacentral:rRNA from 1 species
UGGGGAAUAUUGGACAAUGGGCGAAAGCCUGAUCCAGCCAUGCCGCGUGUGUGAAGAAGGUCUUCGGAUUGUAAAGCACUUUAAGUUGGGAGGAAGGGCAGUAAGCGAAUACCUUGCUGUUUUGACGUUACCGACAGAAUAAGCACCGGCUAACUCUGUGCCAGCAGCCGCGGUAUUACAGAGGGUGCAAGCGUUAAUCGGAAUUACUGGGCGUAAAGCGCGCGUAGGUGGUUCGUUAAGUUGAAUGUGAAAGCCCCGGGCUCAACCUGGGAACUGCAUCCAAAGCUGGCGAGCUAGAGUAGGGCAGAGGGUGGUGGAAUUUCCUGUGUAGCGGGGAAAUGCGUAGAUAUAGGAAGGAACACCAGUGGCGAAGGAGACCACCUGGGCUCAUACUGACACUGAGGUGCGAAAGCGUGGGGAGCAAACAGG